GCGUCAGUAGGUUGGUCGUGCCACCGGUACGUACUGGUCUCACUGAUUCCUCCUUCCUGAAGUACCGUAAUGCCAUUAAUUUGGUGUUGCGGGGAAACAGGACUGUUACUUUGAAAAAAUUAGAGUGUUUAAAGCAAGCUAACGCUUGAAUACAUUAGCAUGGAAUAAUGAAAUAGGACGAUCGAUCCUAUUUUGUUGGUUUCUAGGAUUGACGUA
rnacentral:rRNA from 1 species